rnacentral:rRNA from 1 species
CCGGUUGAACCUGCCGGAGGCUACCGCUAUUGGAGUUCGAUUAAGCCAUGCGAGUCGCGAGUCUUAGGGACUCGGCGUACCGCUCAGUAACACGUGGGUAACCUGCCCUAUGCUGGGGGAUAACCUCGGGAAACUGAGAAUAAUACCCCAUAGUUCACCACGCCUGGAACGGUGGGUGGACCAAAGCUCCGGCGGCAUAGGAUGGGCCUGCGGCGUAUCAGGUUGUAGGGGGUGUAAUGUACCCUCUAGCCCUCUACGCGUACGGGUGUUGAGAGACAUCGCCCGGAGAUGGAUUCUGAGACACGAAUCCAGACCCUACGGGGUGCAGCAGGCGCGAAAACUUGGCAAUGCGAGAAAUCGUGACCAGGGAACUCCAAGUGCAUCGGGUAAGACCGAUGCUUUUCUUGACUCUUCAAAGGUCUUGGAAUAAGGGGUGGGUAAGGACGGUGCCAGCCGCCGCGGUAAUACCGGCGCCCCAAGUGGUGGUCGCUUUUAUUGGGCCUAAAACGUCCGUAGCCGGUCUGGUACAUUCGUGGGUAAAUCAACCAGCUCAACUGGUUGAAUUCUGCGAGCACGGCCAGACUUGGGACCGGGAGAGGUGUGGGGCACUCUCAGGGUAGGGGUAAAAUCCUGUCAUCCUGAGAGGACCACCUGUUGCGAAGGCGCCACACUAGAACGGAUCCGACGGUCAGGGACGAAGCCUAGGGGCACGAACCGGAUUAGAUACCCGGGUAGUCCUAGGUGUAAACGCUGUGGACUUGAUGUUGGGGGCGCUCCGAGCGCACUCAGUGUGGAAGCGAAGGUGAUAAGUCCACUGCCUGGGGAGUACGGUCGCAAGGCUGAAACUUAAAGGAAUUGGCGGGGGAGCACCGCAACCUGAGGAUUGUGCGGUUUAAUUGGAUCAACCCCGGG